GGACUGUGUCACAGCCCGGCGGCCACCGAGCAAGCAGGAAGCCACAGAACUCAGAGCCACAGAGAGGGCUCAGCUGAUCGGCCUGGGAGUGACACGCAAUGGCUUAGAAUGCGCUGGCUCCUGAAGGCAUGAAUUUGCAGCUGGCAUUACUGCUCAUCUAACAGAGAAGCUGCAGUCCCAAGGGAAAGAGAAGGAAGGCCAGCUCCACGUUGCCAGCUGCACCAACCUGGGUAAAUGUUCCAAGGUUUGGAUGACCUUGUGCCCUGGCCACCGGAAUGACCUACAGCCGGGCACUCAGAGCCCUGGGAUGCACGGACCAAAAUGGAGAAACUGAUUGGAAGCCCUCUCUGGGGUCGUGCUGGGCAGUGUAGCCUGGCACCUGGAAGUGACCUUGCUGCCAGCUAUGUGAAAAACUCUGGCUUAGAGGAAGAUAUAGGGAUAAGAACAGAGAGAGUGAAAGCCCCUGGCUGGGUCCUUCCAGAAGGUGGCUCCACCCUAUCCCUUCCUGUGGUCUGAUCCCCAGCACCCAUAGAGUCCUCUUCAGCCUGAGCCAGCUUACAGUGGGUUCUGUCACUUACAGUCAAGAGUUCUUCAGCUCUUACUCCCGGGACACCAGGGAGAGCCACCAGGCACACCAGGAGGGUGGGAAUCCCAGGCCACAUGGUCAGAUCUGAGAGAGGGACUGGACACCCAGGGCACCGUGGGGAAUUUAGAGGCGCUUUAGAACUGGGGGUGGGGGGGUGGCCAUUAGUAUUCAGCUCAAAGGGGUUAAAAUCCAGGUUGUGUUGAAGUCAUGACAAGCAGUGUCUGUGUGGUGCUAGCAGGAAGCCACACACAGCAGGUGCUCAGCAAGUGCUUGGAGUAAAGGGGUGAGUGAUGGGACCUUUAGUGGAGGUAGCACACCCCUCAGCUGGCCCAGGACCAGCAGCAUUUGGAAACUGACAUAGAAAUGCAGUAAAACUAGUGUGGUCAGGCGUGGUGGCGCAUGCUUGCAAUCCCAGCACUUGUGAGACUGAGACAGGAGGAUCACAAGUUCCAGGCCAGCCUAGUACCCUGUCUCAACAAAGCAAAACAAAAUGAGCAUGUCAGGUGGCAUGUGAGAGCUUUUACAUAAAUUUUCUCAGUUGAUCUCUACAACUGUGCCAUAAGGCAGACAGCAUUGUCUAUAUUCCAGAGAUGACAUCUGAUAACUUGUUCACCUCUUCACAGCUGGGAGCGGUUGAGUUGGGAAAUAAAACUGAGGACUUCUGAAUAGAAAGGUGUGUCACCCUACUACUCCAUGCUGCAUCAGCAACCUGGGGUUAUCUAAGGACUGAGAAACUGCGGGGCCACCAGAUACAGUUGUGUAGUUUGUGCGCAGCUCAAAAGCACUCUGCAGAGCAAGGUGACCAAAGUACAGCUUGCUCCCUGCUGGCUGUGUCUGCCUGGAGGACCCCUUUGCUCCAUUUACACAAGGCGCUCUCUAACAGCCCUGGUAGUGAGUCUGAGUCCUGGCAAAGCAGGGUCAGGGUCAGGUAGUCAGUACCCUAGAGGUCCAAGGUCACUAGGUACCAGGGUCACUCUGACCUCUCAUCCUCCAGCUGCUCCACAGCCCUCUUGGUAUCGUGGGUUCUCCUAAUGCCAUUACAGUCACUCAGGCCCUGGUGUCAGAUAGGCUCAGCCCUGUAUCACAGGGACAACAGUGAUGCUCAUGAGUUUGUAGAGAAAAUGAAAGAAGUAAUGCAUGAUAGCAUUUAGCACAGCACCUGGUCUACAGGAGUUCAAUAAAUAUUAGUAGCUACUCUUA